rnacentral:rRNA from 1 species
GUAGGGAAUCUUCCACAAUGGACGCAAGUCUGAUGGAGCAACGCCGCGUGAGUGAAGCCCAAGGUUUUCGGAUCGUAAAGCUCUGUUGUUGGUGAAGAAGGAUAGAGGCAGUAACUGGUCUUUAUUUGACGGUAAUCAACCAGAAAGUCACGGCUAACUACGUGCCAGCAGCCGCGGUAAUACGUAGGUGGCAAGCGUUGUCCGGAUUUAUUGGGCGUAAAGCGAGCGCAGGCGGAAUGAUAAGUCUGAUGUGAAAGCCCACGGCUCAACCGUGGAACUGCAUCGGAAACUGUCAUUCUUGAGUGCAGAAGAGGAGAGUGGAACUCCAUGUGUAGCGGUGGAAUGCGUAGAUAUAUGGAAGAACACCAGUGGCGAAGGCGGCUCUCUGGUCUGCAACUGACGCUGAGGCUCGAAAGCAUGGGUAGCGAACAGGAUUAGAUACCCUGGUAGUCCAUGCCGUAAACGAUGAGCGCUAGGUGUUGGGGGACUUUCCGGUUCUCAGUGCCGCAGCAAACGCAUUAAGCGCUCCGCCUGGGGAGUACGACCGCAAGGUUGAAAC